CCGAGCCGCCAUCUUGAGAGGACCGUGGCUCCCCCGCGGCGCAUGCGCAGCCCCACACACAAACACAGGCCCUAAAGCCGGCCCUAAGGCUGUCCCAAACGCUCCCUGUUCGGCCCUAAAGCGAUCUCAAACACUCGCUGUUCGGCCCUAAAGCCAUCCCAAACACUCCCUGUUCGUCCCUAAGGCCAUCCCAAACGCUCCCUGUUCGGUCGCCCCGAAAGGCAGAGCAGCACAUGAGUGACACUGACGCUUGGCUGAGAGAUAAAAUAUAGAAAGAAUACGCUGAAGGUUGAACUCUUCAUACAGAUAAUGAAACAGUGACAGUGUAGAACAACAGGAGAGAGGGGCCCAGCCCCAGUGCAAAACUCAAAGACUCACAGGGCAAUGCAGCCUUCCCCUAAAAGACAACAAGGAGACAAUGAGCCUGAGACUGAGAAAAAAAGCACUUAAAUCUCUUGUGUCACCUACUAUCACUGUGCUGCAAUUACUGGAGAGAACCUGCUUUGGAUCACAGCAAGGAGUGUAUUAUCUCCUGAGAAAUCAGGGGCAUUCAUUUCACUUCAAAUAUGUGUGAAAGAUCUGGGCACUGGAGAUACCUGUGGGUGACUGCAGUGUUCUGAGCUUCCAUUCCUGGUAAGGAAAACACGAGCCUGUGGCUGCUAUUUCAGUUAAUGGGAUUUCAGCAAAGAGCCUUCUGUGGACAAGGACUGCAGUCUCUGGCUGCAGAAUUUGGAAGCCAGCAGCACUGCCAAAUCCUUUUCUGGAGCCAGGAGAAAUGCCUCAAGUAAGUGCAAGUGAAAUAGGAUUUGAAUAUUCUGAA